GCCUUCGUGGUGUAAUGGUCAGCACACUGAGCCGGUAUUUCAGAGGUCCGCGGUUCGAUUCUCGGCGAAGGCG
rnacentral:tRNA from 1 species